UAGGGAAUCUUCCACAAUGGACGAAAGUCUGAUGGAGCAACGCCGCGUGAGUGAAGAAGGUUUUCGGAUCGUAAAGCUCUGUUGUUGGUGAAGAAGGAUAGAGGCAGUAACUGGUCUUUAUUUGACGGUAAUCAACCAGAAAGUCACGGCUAACUACGUGCCGG
rnacentral:rRNA from 1 species